rnacentral:rRNA from 1 species
CAGCCGCGGUAAUUCCAGCUCCAAUAGCGUAUAUUAAAGUUGUUGCAGUUAAAAAGCUCGUAGUUGAACUUCGGGAUCAAUGAGUUGGUCGUGCCCUUGGUAUGAACUGGCUUUAUUGGUUCUCACCUUCUAAUGAACCAUAAUGUCAUUCAUUUGAUGUUUGGGGGAAUUAGGACUGUUACCUUGAAAAAAUUAGAGUGUUUAAAGCAGGCUCACGCUUGAAUACAUUAGCAUGGAAUAAUGAAAUAGGACAUCGCAUUCUAUUUUGUUGGUUUUUAGGAUCGAUGUAAUGAUUAAUAGGGAUAGUUGGGGCAUUAGUAUUCAAUUGUCAGAGGUGAAAUUCUUGGAUUUAUUGAAGACUAACUACUGCGAAAGCAUUUGCCAAGGAUGUUUUUCAUUAAUCAAGAACGAAAAGUUAGGGGAUCGAAGACGAUCAGAUACCGUCGUAGUCUUUAACCCAUAAACUAUGCCGACUAGGGAUCGGAUGAUGUUGAUUUUUUAAUGACUUUCGGCACCUUACGGGAAAC